ACGGGGUGCAGCAGGCGCGAAACCUUUGCAAUGUGCGCAAGCACGACAAGGUUAAUCCGAGUGUUUCCUGCUAAAGGAAUCUUUUGUUAGUCGUAAAACCACUGAUGAAUAAGGGGUGGGCAAGUUCUGGUGUCAGCCGCCGCGGUAAAACCAGCACCUCAAGUGGUCAGGAGGAUUAUUGGGCCUAAAGCAUCCGUAGCCGGCUCUGCAAGUUUUCGGUUAAAUCCAUUUGCUUAACAAAUGGGCUCCCGAAAAUACUACAUAGCUAGGGAGUGGGAGAGGUAGACGGUAUUCGGUAGGAAGGGGUAAAAUCCUUUGAUCUAUUGAGGACCACCUAUGGCGAAGGCAGUCUACCAGAACACGUUCGACGGUGAGGGAUGAAAGCUGGGGGAGCAAACCGGAUUAGAUACCCGGGUAGUCCCAGCUGUAAACGAUGCAGACUCGGUGAUGCGCUGGCUUGUGGCCAGUGCAGUGCCGCAGGGAAGCCGUUAAGUUUGCCGCCUGGGAAGUACGUACGCAAGUAUGAAACUUAAAGGAAUUGGCGGGGGAGCAC
rnacentral:rRNA from 2 species